CUUCCCUUGGGAGUGGUGGAAAAUUGUCCAGAAGGAGCUCGAAGAGAAGCAAAUCCAGUGGAAAUAGAUUUUCUUUCUCCAGUUUCUCAGCAAAAUUCUUAGCAUUCAUUCUUGGAUGAACCCAAACCACCUUUAUCUCUAAACUUGUUAGUGACUGAAUGGAAUGCGGUGCUUCUGUCGGAACAUCUUUAAGAUAUGUACAGCCCUGGGGUGUCUGAAGUAGAGUCAGCUCUAUUCAAAGGCCAAAAUCUGAGAGGGAAAAUGGAAUAGAUAUCAAAAGGAAGCUCAAAUGAUUUUGCUGAAGUCAAGAUGCUGAAUAAGUGAAGGCAAUAGGAGUCCAAUUGUUUUUGCUUUUUAUCUGUAAACUGGACUGGAUCCUGAAUUCUUCUAGGUCUCCUGAAAUAUCUGGCUAUAAAUCUCCAAACUAGCAUUUUCAAUUUUUUUUCCAUCAUUUUCAUUUGGAAUCUUGAGAGCUGAAACCACCCUUGUUCCUGAAGCCCUGAAAACUGCUUCUGGACAACUUGAUACAAACUUCAGAGAGAUUCAUGUCUGUUGCUGUGUAAGCCACUCAGAAAGAUACCUCAACAGCAGACGACAUCAUCAGAGACAUUUCAAACUGCAAAGGAUCUAGAAAUCUUCUUGACAGGCUGCCUGCUGGACUCAGAAAAUACAUUAUAAUCUUCUCCAAUCAUUAACCUUGUUUUCUUUUUGUUUCUCUAGAAAUGCUUCUCCAUAAAUACCUGGUUACUUGCUUACAAAAUGUAGGCCUAACUUUGGGAAGCCACCUGCACCAUCAUCUUACUAAGAGAUUGGUUCAGUGAGAUAGAACCAUCUACAUUACCAGCAGAAAGAACCUAGAAAAGUCAUCACGCUGUAUCACUCAAGACUCAAGACUGAGGAAUGAAGAAUAAGAAGGAGGAAUUUGUAACUGCGGGCCCCCCAGGACAGUUCAAUUGAUCCCAUCUUUUCAAAAGAGUCAUUAAGAGUGGUUUAUCAAGAACUGAGACCCCCUGGGAAAUCUUUAAUCUUUACAAAGUCAAGUGCUCCAACUUGUGGCAAAAUUGCUGAAAACCUAAAGGUUCCAGAAGCUGUAAAAGUUUACAAAGAACUGCAGAAUUUUACCAAGCUUCUUUUGUGUCCUGAGACCUUGGCUUGAUGAUCAUCAGGUUGGGGGGUUGGUCCCAAAAAUAUGAGUGGACGAAAAUGCAGUUACACCCAAUUUUGUGGUCAGAGAUGGUUGGACAGAAAUGUAGGUUGCACUCCUUUUUGUGACUAAGAGUCACGCUAAACUGCUGUCAUCCUCAGGGAAUUGCACUGGCCAUUGGAAGGGACAUUCCAAUAAGAUAACAUCAUUUAAAAGUGCACUUAAAUGUAAAGACUUGAAAAUUCCAAAGUAGCUUUAUUGAAAGUUUUGUUGCAAAAUGAAAAAAUUAAGUUAUAAAAGGUACCUAAAAGAAAAGCCUAAGAGGUCAUGGCUUUAGGGACAUCCUGUAAUCUACCUUCUAAGGAGAGUCCAAAAUGAGACCCUCUCAGAGUUAAAGAGACUCAGAGAUUUUCUGGAAAACUGUUAUGUUGAACAUUACUGGAAUUGUUCAAUACUGCCAGAAAAAGUAAAAGACUACAUCCAUUAUAGGCAGAAAGAAGCUAGAGCAGUUGUCACCCUACAACCUUCAAGAUUGAACAGUGAACAACAGAAAGGGGGGAUUAGUAACCAGAGACCCUCCAGGACCAGUUCAACUGACCCAUCUGAUCCACAGAUUCCUCUCCUCAGGUCUCGGGUCUGUCAUUUGGAUCCAGUCAAGAACACCGCAUACCUCAGAGGAUGGAGAAGCUAUAAACUGCAGCUAAUCCAGGUUCCUGAAUACACAGUGAGGCUUCCUAGAGAAACAUCUACAUAAACGAAGAGGAGAGAAGUGAGCUUUUGUCUUUCCUGUCAAGAGGAGAACUGCACAUUCAAUGUAUUUGAAAGAUGCUCAUUGUUUGUCUUCAAGGGAUUAUAUGUUCAAACGACUCUGCAACUCUGAAGAACCCCAAGUGCUACUUACUAUGUCACAGCAUUUAGACCCACUUCAGCAUUUUCAUGACACAGCCUAACCUGUGUUUUUGGCAUAGAGCUCAUGGGGUGCUAGGACCAGCUCAUACUGGCUUGGGAGAGCUGAUUAUUACAUUUUCAACAACUUUCCGAACUGCGUGUUGUCACUUAGGUAGUUUAAAUUGGCAAUGAAGGGGAUAUUUGCAUUAAAUAACUUGGGAACUGCUAUGAAUCAAUCCUUCUAUUCUUUUUCCUAGAUGCAGUUGCUAAAUAUUUACCAGCAAUACUGCUGCAUAGAACUGAAAUAUUUUAUUUAUUACCUGGAUUUUACAAAGCCAAAGUCAAUCACUUCAUAUUUCUUUAUAUAUAACUAGUUUUCUUCUAUCUGUAUGGCUUAGAAUUUCUUGUUAGCCCUGGUGCAUCAGAUAGAACCGAAAUGUUUAUUUGAUCCGAGAGUGCAAUUUGGAGUGAUAAAAAGGAUAGCUACUUCCUGUGCAGACAAGAUGGUUUUGACUCAUCUCUCCCACUCCUCCCCACUAAGUCUAACUAUAAGCCCUGGAAAUAAUACAAAGGAGAAGUCUGAAAGGUGAAAAGCAGAGGCCAACAGGUUUUGGAUCUCAGAAAUGGUGGAACAAUGUAGUACCCUAUGUUUCAUGAUGCUCGACCAAACGGAAAAAGAAUACUCAGCCCAGUGUUUCCCAGCCUCCAUCUUAGCAACAGAGGAUGGCUCAGGUAAACCAUCCUUACCUACCUUAACCCUCUGACAACACCAGGGAAACCCAUUACCACCAACAAGGGGGAUUGAUUGAUGUGGGGUCCUACCAAUAAUACAUGACCAGGGAAAGCCCACCUUCCCUGCCAGCCCUGAGACUCCCUUUCUCAAUCAAAGAUACUAAAAAUCAAAUUCCCCUGAAACUGAUUUGUAGGUUUUAAUGCAACUCCUGUCAAAAUCCCAGCAAGGUCUUUUGUAGACAUAGCCAAGCUUAUUCUAAAAUUUACAUGGAAAGGCGAAGGCCCUAGAACAGUUGAAAUCAUUUGAAAAAGAUGAAUAAAGUAAGAGGCAUUAUGCUGUCUUAUAUGAAGUCCUGCAUUAGUCCCAUAAUAAUCAAGACAGUGCGGUAUUGGUGGAGGGAUACCUUUUGCUCAGUGGAACGCAAUAGUGAGCCCAGAAGUAGACCCACACAACUCACACUUCAACUGAUUGUUUACAAAGUUGCAAAAGCAAUUUAAUGGAGGAAAGAUAGCUUCAAUAAAUGGUGCUAAGGCAAUUGGACAUCCAUCCAUAGGGGGAAAAAAGCCUUAACUACAAAUCUUGUACAAAAAUUAACUCAAAGUUGAUCAUCAACUCAAACGUAAAAGUGUUAUUUUUUAAGAAAAAUACAGGAAAAAAAUUUUGGAAUCAAGGGCUAGACUUAUUAGACUUGACCACAAAACCACAAAAAUAUGAUCUAUUAAGGGAAAAAUUGAUAAUAUAACCUCAUGAAAAUUAAAAGCUUUUGCUAUUUGAAAUCUUAUUUGAAGACAAUGGAAAGACAAACUACAUACUGGGAGAAAAUAUUUGCAAACUCCACAUCCAAUACAGGACUUGUAUCUAAAAAAAAAAAAAAAAAAACACCCUCACGACCCAAUAAUAAAGUAAAAAUCCACAAAUAGGUGGAGCAAAGAGAGUUUCUUGGGCAGUGAAACUACUCUGUAUGAUACCAUAAUGAUGAAUACAUACCUUUAUUUUACCCGCUACAAACAUAGGUUCUUUACCCGCCACACAAGAGGGGCCAAAUAAAAACUGGAACACCAGUUAUACAUCAAACAAGUUCAGAGAUGCUGAUGUUAUCUAUGUGUGGAGGGAGGAAAGGACCAGGAUCGUUAAUUAGUCCUUCAGUCUCUAAGAAAGGUAGCUGGGAAUUGUGAGAGCGAGGUAUCACUUUUUCUCUUCCUGUUGUGGAUCUUUCUAGCUGGCAUCUUUGGUCACGAGAUGUAGGGUUGCAAGGCUGUGCGUUUGGCACAGGGUGAAGCUGGCCCGCAUGGCCGCUUCACAGUACAGCUGCUUCAGAGGACAGCAUGGAUUUUAUUGCGCUGACUUAAAGCCUAUGCAGUUUGCUUGCUAGAUACGCCUGUUAGACCAGGGAGAAGGGUCCCAAAAAUUUGUCCAGUACCACACUACUGCAAGGUGCUAAUAAUGGGGGGAAAUGUGUGCAGGAGGAGAGGGGUCUAUGGGAACUUUCUACUUUCUGCACAAUUUUUCGGUAAACCUAAUGGUGCACUAGAGAAUAAAGUCUAUUAAUUGUUUUUAAAGGGCGAGAAAAUAAAUCUACUAUGUCAGCUAGAUUUCCUCAUGUCACCAUGGACAUAGGGAAAAUCCUUCCAGAUUUGGCAUUUGGAAAAUUCUGUGUUAAACCAAAGGCAGCUCCUAUGGAGGCAACUACGUUCUGUCAAGACUUUUGGGAGAGCUGACUAUCAAAUCAGACUCAGUAAUCCUGCUGACCACUCCCUGAGCCACAAUGAUCAGAAUCACUGAAGCCCCAGGCAUUGCUCUGGAUCAACGCACCUGACACCUGCCCCCCCCCCCCCCACUCUCUAAGGACAAUCAGGAGGCCACAGAAAGGACCGUGACAAUGUUUCACAGGCUCAACUUCAGAAGAGAGAUCAUUUGCUCCCCACUAUACCCAGCAAGCAACCUGACCAACAUCUGCUUUGAAUGCCUGGCUUACUUCUGGCAGAACUCUAUAUCUGUGGUUUUAGUUGCACCUAGCACGCUAAGAAUAUGGUUCAAUGUUGUAUCUUACAAUACAAAUGGAAGUCCUUGAUCCUGGUCAGAAUCAUGAAGCCCUUAAGAGUUGAAUGAAAACGUAACUGGCCCAGUCGUUUGCUGGCUUUCACAUUUGCACAGUGGCUCUUGCAGUUUGAAUCUUGACUUACCUCAAACUUCUUGAAGGAAAAGGAUUGCAAUUGGUAUUAAGAUCACUCCAAUGAACCACUGGUGACAAAAGGCACACUUAGUUUAAUAAGGCUUGAAAUAUGAUCGGAAUGUUUGAAAGACUUGAGGAAUACGCAUUAAUGUUAAAAAGUAUACGCUUGGUGAACUCUCGAUUUUGGGUGGCUAAACUCAUUAAAGUUAGUAAGGUAUUCUCAUUGUUUUCCAAGGCAUAAAAUAAUCUCUUUUAAAAAUUAUUUUGGAAUUUAUAAUAGACUGUUCUAAAUACAACAGUAAUAUUUAUUUUAACAUUGGGAGCCUAGUAAGGUAAAAGUCAAAAUAUAAUGCUCAUGUUCAAUUUUAUGAUUUAUACUUAUAUCACAAUUCUGAAAUGGUUAUUGCGAUAUCCCUAAGGAUAAGGAAUUAAUAAAUCUGUUUCUUCAAGUUAACGGUUUAAGCAUUUCAUCCAGAGGGAAUGUUUAUUUUUUCUUUCACAUUUUUCAAGUCAAACUAGAUAUUUUCUUCCUUAAAGAUGAAGUUCACUCAUUAAUAUUCUGAGUCAUUCUUUACCCAUAAACAGUAAUUUGGAUGAGAAGCAUUAAGUGGAACAGAGUCCAAAAGGCAAUAAUAUAAGCGUUAACAAACAAACCAAAAAUCUCUACCUGACGAGAAUACCAUCUCUGCAUUUGGUUUUCUGGACAAAGAGACAAAAGAUCAAUGUUAGGAAUUCUUCCAUUUACCAUAACCUACCAAACAAAAUUAUAUAAAAGAAAUGAGUUGAGGUAAAUGCAUAUUCAUUCCUUUGCUUACUUCAUCUUUUAGAAUGCAAAUUUGUAACAGUCUGGCAAUAAAGGGAAGAAAAGAUUUGGAGGAUAAUAAUGCAAAUUUAUGUUGAAAUAUAAUAUCAACUUCAGAAUUUUCAUAUUUUUUUGUGUGUCAUAAAUAUAGCCUUGAUAAAACUAACACCUUAGUACCAACUUAGUCUUUUUACUUGUUUUCUUUGGAAAAGGGUGUGGGAAUGGUUUCUUCAAAGUCUAAUACAACCCCUCCCCUGAUUGUAAUUGAAAUAGAAAAAGCUUAUUCAUGAAGGACAUUGGGGGCUCUUAUGGGCUCGGUUGUGCACCCCCCCUUUCCUAUGUUGUAGCCCUAAUCCCCCAGGACCACAGAAUGCAACUGUAUUUGGAGAUGGGAUCUUUAAAGAGGUGAUUAAGGUAAAAUGAGUUCAUUAGGGUGGAUCCUAAUCCAAUAGGACUAGUGUCCUUAUGAGAAGAGGAGAUGAGGACACAGACAUGCACAGAGGAAGAACCAUGGGAGGACACAGGGAGAAGAUGGCCAUCUCCACAACAAGGAGAGAAGCCUCAGGAGAAAUCAACCCUGAUGAAGCCUUGGUCUCCGACUUCCAGCCUCCGGAACUGUGAGAAAUAAAUGUUCACUGUGUAAGGCCCCCAGUCUGUGGUACUUUGUUAUGGCAGCCCUAGCAAAAUAAUACAGUGGCAGCUGUCCCCGGUCCUUGAUCAUAAAUAUUAUAUGCAUUCAUAUUCAGGAUGGUUAUUGAUUAAGAGAGGAAGAAGUCAUAGUCUAAUGUAGAAAUUAUUUCAGAGGCACAAAUAGAACCACUAGUCAUACUAGUCAUUUCCACUACAGAGAUUUUACCUCUACUGGAGAAUGCAUCUCAUUUUCUAGGCUACUGAUUCUCUUUCAUCAUAUUGGAGGGUAUUCAUGAGAUCUUUUGAGGGUCCGGUCCCUUCUGCUCUUUCACAGCAAGAUUCUUGAUUGGACUCUGCUUGUCCAUUUAUGAAACACUCCUCCACCUCUCCUGGAUUUCUGCCUCUCAAAUAAGAUGCUUUGAAAUUGUGUUCCUUCCUCUGAAGAUAGACGGUGGCUUUUUUGUUUGUUGUUUUGGGUUUUAUUUGUUUAUUUGACUUUUAAUUAAAUAAUUCUGAGAAAAUUGUAGAUUCACAUACAGUUGCAAGAAAUAAUGUGCAGUCAUGUGUCGUUUAAUGAUGGGAUAGGUACUGAGAAAUAUGUCAUUAGGGGAUUUCAUCGUUGUGUAAACAUCAUAGAGCGCACUUACACAAACCUACAUGGUAUAGCCUACUACACACCUAGGCUCUAUGGUACUAAUCUUAUGGGACCACCAUCUUCAUGUGGCCCAUAGUUGACCAAAACAUUGUGAUUCAGUGAAUGACUAUGGAGAGAUCUCCUGUAUGCUUUCUCCAGUUUCCCCCAUGGUAGCAUAUUGGUAAAUUAUAGUAUAAUAUAUGAUACUCAAAUGUCUUGUUCAUCAUUCAUGUUGUGAACACCAGGAUAUAGAUAUUCAUUCAGUCAAGAUACAGACUGUCUCCAUCACAAGGACUUUCAUGCUGCUCUUUUAUAGCCACAUCCACUUUCCUGACCUUCCCACCCCCUCCUAAACCCCUGGAAACCACUAAUCUGUUCUCCAUGUCCAUAAUUAUUUUUCAUCUCAAGAAUAUAAUAUAACUGGAAUUGAGCAGUAUGUAAUCUUUUCAGAUUGACUUUAUCCAGUCAGUAAUUCCCUUGAGAUUCAUCCAUGUUGAUGGAAGUAUCAAUAGUUCAUUUCUUUUUAUUGCUGAAUGUUAUCACAUUAUAUCGAUGUACCAUAACUGUUUCACCAUUCACUUGCUGAAGAACUUAGCAGUGUUUCCAGUUUGGGGCUAUGCGAAUGAAGAUACUAGGCAUAUUUGUGUAUGAGAUUUUGAGUAGCCAUUGUCAGGAAGGGGAAAGUCCCCCCUUCUACCCUUCUUAUGUUUUUAUGGCUGGACUAACAAUAAAAUUGACACAAGACCAGAUUAACAGGAGAAAACCCACUUUAAUAUGUGUGGAUUGGGGAUCAUAGAGAAAUGAUGUUUGGAAACUGAACAAAGCAGAAAAUACAUGUAUCUUUUACACAAAGAAACAACAAGUUUGUAAGGAAUGGCAGGAGAAAGAAACCUAGGUUUGAGGUUUGUAAUUAGAAAGGAAUUCAAGCAGAGUUUAGGCUUUAGGUAGUAAAUUAAUCAGGUUUGUUUAUAUACGCACCAUGGCCCUGAAUUUCCCAGCUCUGGUGAGAAGGAGGCAGGAAGAACACUUUCACAUGGGAGAUUUAUUUCCUGCUUUCAAGGGGAACGGAGAAUUGGGUCAAAAUACCUUUUUU
ensembl:lncRNA